AUCAACUUUCGAUGGUAGGAUAGAGGCCUACCAUGGUGGUAACGGGUAACGGGGUGUUAGGGCACGACACCGGAGAGGGAGCCUGAGAAACGGCUACCACAUCCAAGGAUGGCAGCAGGCGCGCAAAUUACCCAAUCCCGACACGGGGGGUAGUGACAAUAAAUAACAAUACGGGGUUCUUUUGGAUUUCGUAAUUGGAAUGAGUACAAUUUAAAUCUCUUAACGAGGAACAAUUGGAGGGCAAGUCUGGUGCCAGCAGCCGCGGUAAUUCCAGCUCCAAUAGCGUAUAUUAAAGUUGUUGCAGUUAAAAAGCUCGUAGUUGAAUUUCGGGGUUAGUAGGCUGGUCAUGCCACAGGUAUGCACUGGUCUUACUGAUUCCUCCUUCCUGAUGAACCGUAAUGCCAUUAAUUUGGUGUUGCGGGGAGUCUGGACUGUUACUUUGAAAAAAUUAGAGUGUUUAAAGCAGGCUAACGCUUGAAUACAUUAGCAUGGAAUAACGAAAUAGGACGUUCGAUCUUAUUUUGUUGGUUUCUAGGAUUGACGUAAUGAUUAAUAGGGAUAGUUGGGGGCAUUAGUAUUCAAUUGUCAGAGGUGAAAUUCUUGGAUUUAUUGAAGACUAACUACUGCGAAAGCAUUUGCCAAGGAUGUUUUCAUUAAUCAAGAACGAAAGUUAGGGGAUCGAAGACGAUCAGAUACCGUCGUAGUCUUAACCAUAAACUAUGCCGACUAGGGAUCGGAUGAUGUUAAUUUUAUAAUGACUCAUUCGGCGCCUUACGGGAAACCAAAGUGUUUGGGUUC
rnacentral:rRNA from 1 species